CCUACGGGAGGCAGCAGUGAGGAAUAUUGGUCAAUGGUCGGGAGACUGAACCAGCCAAGCCGCGUGAGGGAUGAAGGUACAGAGUAUUGUAAACCUCUUUUGUCAGGGAACAAAGGCGGGGACGUGUCCCCGGAUGAGUGUACCUGAAGAAAAAGCAUCGGCUAACUCCGUGCCAGCAGCCGCGGUAAUACGGAGGAUGCGAGCGUUAUCCGGAUUUAUUGGGUUUAAAGGGUGCGCAGGCGGUCUGUUAAGUCAGCGGUCAAAGCCCGGGGCUCAACCCCGGCCCGCCGGUGAAACUGGCAGUCUCGAGUUGGCGAGAAGUAUGCGGAAUGCGCGGUGUAGCGGUGAAAUGCAUAGAUAUCGCGCAGAACUCCGAUUGCGAAGGCAGCAUGCCGGCUCCACACUGACGCUGAGGCACGAAAGCGUGGGUAUCGAACAGGAUUAGAUACCCCAGUAGUC
rnacentral:rRNA from 1 species